CGACUCAUGUGAAGAAAAAUUCACCAAGUGUUGGAUUGUUCACCCACCAAUAGGGAACAUGAGCUAGGUUUAGACCGUCAUGAGAUAGGUU
rnacentral:ncRNA from 1 species